AUUGAACGCUGGCGGCAGGCCUAACACAUGCAAGUCGAACGGUAACAGGAAACAGCUUGCUGUUUCGCUGACGAGUGGCGGACGGGUGAGUAAUGUCUGGGAAACUGCCUGAUGGAGGGGGAUAACUACUGGAAACGGUAGCUAAUACCGCAUAACGUCGCAAGACCAAAGAGGGGGACCUUCGGGCCUCUUGCCAUCGGAUGUGCCCAGAUGGGAUUAGCUAGUAGGUGGGGUAACGGCUCACCUAGGCGACGAUCCCUAGCUGGUCUGAGAGGAUGACCAGCCACACUGGAACUGAGACACGGUCCAGACUCCUACGGGAGGCAGCAGUGGGGAAUAUUGCACAAUGGGCGCAAGCCUGAUGCAGCCAUGCCGCGUGCAUGAAGAAGGCCUUCGGGUUGUAAAGUACUUUCAGCGGGGAGGAAGGGAGUAAAGUUAAUACCUUUACUCAUUGACGUUACCCGCAGAAGAAGCACCGGCUAACUCCGUG
rnacentral:rRNA from 1 species